AUCUUUACUGAAAACUGUUGUAAAGAAGCGCCCCAGCAUUUGAUGGACCAUUGUUUUGUUUUUUUUCCUCCUCACGUGGAUGUUGCGAUGGAAACCUGAGACUGACUGGAUGAAGGAAGACGUGUGAUCUGCUCAAGGUGAACGAGGCCUGAGUGAUAGACCCAGAACCUUUCAACUCACCCAGUUGCGCUGGUCAUUGGAAAUCACGAAUGAACGAUGCUCUUCUGCCACCCUGGUACUCCCCGGGACGUCGCCGUGUCAAUCACAGACUUCAAAUCCCGAGAUUUAUUCAGCCCCCCUCCCAUUUGUGAUGCAACCAAUGGAGAGAGUGCACCCCGAAGAAGGCGUCAGAAGUAAGUCGUCAUUGCAACAGGCCGAUUUCCUCCAACAUGGUUGCAGAGGAUUUGAGAGGAUUUGAGUUUUGUUGUCUCUGUGAAGAAUCCAGCGGGCUGUGUGCAAUGUUGGCUGCCGGAGGGUUUUGACAGCUCCAGCCAGUCUCCUGCACGGGGCUCGUGAAGCGUUUAGCCAUGUUUAGCCUCUGAUGAACAUGUUCCUCCUGCAUCGCAUCUAUCGACAGAAGUGACAUCUGGGCGACGAAGGUUUGAUUGGUCCCAGUGAUCUUGUGACUUUUUAAACUGGAACAACCCCCACGUACAGUUAGUCGUGAAUCAAUGGAACCCCCUGAUCGUCUGUCAGGGACAGCGAUGACGCUGGGGUGAGAUGCACAGUAACAGUCUUCACUGCAUGCUGCUGGUGCAUAUUAUAACAAUAUCAACUGGUACUUUACCUAUUUUGUCGCUCAGUUGUGGAAGAAAUUAAUUUAUAUAUAUAUAUAUAUAUAUAUAUAUAUAUAAAUCUGAAGUUUUAUAUAUAUAUGUAUAAAUCUGAACUUGACCAUAAGUAUCAUUCCAAAAAUGUUAAAUUUUUUCCUAAAAGUCACGUCAGUUCAUUAAUCACCAUGUGACUGGGGCCUCUUUUUUUUUUUACUAACUGUAAAACUGCCUUGUUUAAUAACAUGUCACUUUUCAUAACACUUUAUUCCUACAUUAUAUAUAAUUAUAACUUAAGGGCAGGAAAGACUAAUAUGGACAAGUUGAGAUACAGGGUUACAGUUUCACUUGUGACGUGUGAAAAUUACUAAAUUAAAUUGUAUCAAAUUGUUUAUAACUAUAUAUUUGUUCUUUUUAUUUCAUGCAAUUUUUGGCCCAGUUCAAUUUCUUCUCUCCUAAUUGGAUGCUGCUUUUCAUGACGUUGGCUGGUCACGAUGCAGUCUAAUUAAAAAGAACGAGACCUGAGAGGUCGUCAGCGGUGCGGUGACAGCUCUUCACACGCGACGCCGCCCCGCGGGAUCGAUCCGGUGGCCACGCACGCGGCCAUGCACUGUGACACUGGCCCAUCAUCGACCGUCAUCAGCCGAGGCCGACAAGACGAUACCCUAACUGGUCGCGUUCAAU